UCCACUUAAUGUUUGGCUGCGGGUCUCUGCAUCAGUUUCCAUCAAUUGCUGUGUGAAGUCUCUCCGAUGAAGGUUAUGCUAGGCUCCUCUCUGGGACUAAAAGACAUGUCUUGAGAGAUGCUGAAGCUCUGGUCUACAAAAUGAGACCAAGACCACAUCAAACACCCUCGGCCUCUUGAUGACAGCUUUGGGACUGAAUCCCUGCAUCUUGCAGUACAGGGUGGAUUAUAUCCUUUAGACUUGAUAGUGACCUGAUUAAUCUUUGGACCCUGUGUUUUCGACUUCUCCAUUACAAUCUCAGCAGAGACUAUUAAUCUUUGGACUUCUGUGUGCUCAGCUGAUUCUUAAUUUGAUUUACUCUUGUUGGCAGUCAGUCCACAUGGAGCUGAUCCAGUGGCAAUCUAACUCUGCCCAUCUGGGGCCCCUAGGUUGUCCUUCAAUGCCCAGAGUCAGUGACAGUGGAGACCCUGAAUCUUUAGGUGUCCCUGUUUCAGCAAGGAGUUUCCAGAUUGCCUUAAGGUCCAUCUCCUGAGUCAUUUUAGGGUCUUUAGGGGACAUGUUAGAUAGGAAGACAGAUAUUGGUGGGCAUGGAUGGAGGUUUCUCUGACGUUCGGACCUUUUUACUCACAGCCUGGAGCUACUCUGCCUUCUGGCUGCUCAGUGACCUUCAUUACUGAAUCUUCGAGCUUCCUAAUUAAAAAGUAUGGUUUCCCACUCUGUCUUUUUAACUUUUU
rnacentral:sRNA from 1 species